CGAGCCCACCAGGAUUCGAACCUGGACUUCCGUGAUACAAAUAUAGCACGUUAUGCUUUUCGCCACGGUCUC